rnacentral:rRNA from 1 species
CGAGGAAUUUUCCGCAAUGGGCGAAAGCCUGACGGAGCAACGCCGCGUGGGGGAAGAAGGCCUUCGGGUUGUAAACCCCUGUUGCGAGGGAAGAAGAUCUGACGGUACCUCGCGAGGAAGCCACGGCUAACUACGUGCCACCAGCCGCGGUAAUACGUAGGUGGCAAGCGUUGUCCGGAUUUACUGGGCGUAAAGCGCGCGCAGGCGGGCUGGUCAGUCUGGGGUGAAAUCUCACGGCUCAACCGUGAGAGGUCCCUGGAUACUACUAGCCUUGAGGGGCUCAGAGGAGAGUGGAAUUCCGGGUGUAGUGGUGGAAUGCGUAGAGAUCCGGAGGAACACCAGUGGCGAAAGCGGCUCUCUGGGGGCAACCUGACGCUGAGGCGCGAAAGCGUGGGGAGCGAACCGG